UAUUGAUCAUGCAUAUUCAACCACUCCAUAAAACAUGUCGCAUCUUCAUCAUUAUCUCACAGCUACAACACAUUCCAACCAUCUCAUUUACGUUACCAUACAUAACCUUUUGUCGUCGUGAAACUCAUCACCUCGUAUACAACAUCUCAUGUAAUCAACCACCAUUAAUCCAUUUUCUCUCUUGAUCUCUCAAACUACUUUGAUCCAACAACCUACACGCUAUCUUCCCUGUUACCAUCGUGCAAAGCAACAACAACACCGAACACAAUCGUCCAACCACCCUCUUACACCCAAACCAUACAUCUUCUUCACAUAUAAGCCCUCAUGCUAACUUUCCGUCUCCGACGACGUAGCCACCAUGAAUAUGACUAACCACUACAUCAACUUCACUCAACAACUUCUGAUUUAG
rnacentral:lncRNA from 1 species